rnacentral:rRNA from 1 species
UACGUAGGGGGCAAGCGUUAUCCGGAUUUACUGGGUGUAAAGGGAGCGUAGCCGGCGAAGCAAGUCUGAAGUGAAAACCCAGGGCUCAACCCUGGGACUGCUUUGGAAACUGUUUUGCUAGAGUGUCGGAGAGGUAAGUGGAAUUCCUAGUGUAGCGGUGAAAUGCGUAGAUAUUAGGAGGAACACCAGUGGCGAAGGCGGCUUACUGGACGAUAACUGACGUUGAGGCUCGAAAGCGUGGGGAGCAAACAGG